rnacentral:rRNA from 1 species
GGUUGAUCCUGCCAGUAGUCAUAUGCUUGUCUCAAAGAUUAAGCCAUGCAUGUCUAAGUAUAAGCAAUUGUACGGUGAAACUGCGAAUGGCUCAUUAAAUCAGUUAUCGUUUAUUUGAUAGUACCUUACUACUUGGAUAUCCGUGGUAAUUCUAGAGCUAAUACAUGCUUACAGCCCCGACUUCUGGAAGGGGCGAGUUUAUUAGAUAAAAAGCCGACGUUGUUGGUGAUUCAUGAUAACCUUUCGAAUCGCGAGUAAUCGCGAUGGUUCAUUCAAAUUUCUGCCCUAUCAAU